UACAGGGGGGGCAAGCGUUGUUCGGAAUUACUGGGCGUAAAGGGCUCGUAGGCGGCCAGCUAAGUCACACGUGAAAUCCCCAGGCUUAACCUGGGAACUGCGUGUGAUACUGGAUGGCUUGAAUUCGGGAGAGGGAUGCAGAAUUCCAGGUGUAGCGGUGAAAUGCGUAGAUAUCUGGAGGAAUACCGGUGGCGAAGGCGGCAUCCUGGACCGACAUUGACGCUGAACGGCGAAAGCUAGGGGAGCAAACGGG
rnacentral:rRNA from 1 species